GGAAUAUUGCACAAUGGGCGCAAGCCUGAUGCAGCAACGCCGCGUGAGGGAUGACGGCCUUCGGGUUGUAAACCUCUUUUAGCAGGGAAGAAGCGAAAGUGACGGUACCUGCAGAAAAAGCGCCGGCUAACUACGUGCCAGCAGCCGCGGUAAUACGUAGGGCGCAAGCGUUAUCCGGAAUUAUUGGGCGUAAAGAGCUCGUAGGCGGUUUGUCGCGUCUGCUGUGAAAUCCGGAGGCUCAACCUCCGGCCUGCAGUGGGUACGGGCAGACUAGAGUGCGGUAGGGGAGAUUGGAAUUCCUGGUGUAGCGGUGGAAUGCGCAGAUAUCAGGAGGAACACCGAUGGCGAAGGCAGAUCUCUGGGCCGUAACUGACGCUGAGGAGCGAAAGGGUGGGGAGCAAACAGGAUUAGAUACCCCUG
rnacentral:rRNA from 1 species